AACUCGAGCAUGUGGUUUCAGGAUUUAGAGUCUAUAUUUGGGAUUUUGUGAUGGUAACAUUGUGUUCUCGGAUGUUCUCUUUAGUGGAUGUAACUUUUUUUUAUUUGAAACUUUCCUUCUUCCGUCACCAAAGCCAAAUCGGAAAAACACUCCAAAAUCCAGAGAUGUUUUUUUGCCCUCAUAAGACUUUUUAAGCAGGUCGGUUUGUGACUUUUUGUUUUCCGCAACCUCUAAAAUCCCUUUUUUUCUGAGUUCAUAUAUUGUUUGUAUGAUACUCGUCCCAUCUCUAAACACAUUUGUAUGUGAUAAAUGUCAAAAGACCCACUUCAAAUUUCAUCUGUUUCCUUAUAUGAAACUCAGAAUAUCUCGGUUACACAAGCCCUGUUUUCAUUUCAAACAUCAAACAUUGAUUUUCUUCCUGUUUAAAAGCUCACCUAAAAGUGUGUGGGAUGUGUCCACAUCUAUUCCUUUGUUAAUGAAUAAGGAACUGUAACCAAUUCUCACUUCCGCCGGUUUGUCUAAAUAACCUCCCAAGAAGUGAGUCAAAGCAUUAGUGAUUCCACAUCACCAUCCCAUUAAGCAGAGUUAAAUAUUGAAGAGUGUGGGAAGAGCCUUAGGUUAAGAAUCAAAUCUUGAACUGAGACCACACAGCCAAGAGACGAGUUUGUGUUGGAUCACACGUGUUAUGCAAUGAGAAAAAAAAAGGAACAUCUGGUUCAGAUGGAAAUUCAAGGGUUGUGCCGGGAUAUGCCGAGCUUCACCACAGUGCGGUCGGGUUCGCAUGCAGGGGAAUCAUUUUCAGCGACUUCUUUUCCAUGCAGACAUAUACAGCUUGUGUGUCCUCUGAAUGUCAGCAUAUUCAUCAUAUUGAGAUGAAAGAGAGAGCAGCUUCAAACCAAUGUCAGAUUUCUGCUUUCUGCAGUACUCUUCUUCUGCUGUUUUGCACCGACUUUGCCAUAAAAGGCAGUUCUGAAGAGUAACAAUUCUUUGAUGACAAAUUGUUAUGUAAGAUGAAAAAUGGGCCACGAAUGCACCCACUCAGAAGGAAACUACUAACCAGCCUCAGACUGACUGUACUUAACACAACUUCCUCACAUGAAAACUUCUGUAUAUCACUUUUUUUAUUGUUGACAAGUCAUAAAACGAGUCUUACUCAGAGACUCUUUAGAACAGACGGUCAAAAAAAACUCAUAAAUACAGUAAUUUAUGUUUUAGUUGGUGUGAACGAGCUUCAGUGUUCAAAUCUUUAGUACUUCUACAGUUAUGUAAGUACAGAUUAAUUUACUGUCUAGUCUUGGCAGCUCUCCAGUUCCUUUAUGAUGUUGAGAACAUGUUUCUCACCUGUGCUACAGCCACAGAUGUGCAGUUUGGCCUCAGGAACAAGAGGCAUUUGCAUCACACACAGAUGCAUGUAAGGCCCCAACCUUAAUCCGACUGGCUGGUUUGAUUUGUGACUCCAGCUAAAUAAGCAAGCCAUUCCUCAGAAUUUGCUUUUGCUCUGAACGGUUUAUCUUUUGUAAUCUGAAUCAUGGGCUGGCUUAUUUCACUGAGGCAUUUUGUAAUGAUCACAUAAAUGAAAUAAAAAGGUUCAACCUGUUUUGAUUGUUUUUCUGCGACUGGAACACUUAAGACUGCUAAAUUAAACCAAUACUGUUAGCAUUUUGGUGCCUUUGGUGUUCGGCCUCUUAUUUUUCCUCAUAAUAAAGCAGCUGUGUUGGUGUCCCAGCUAAUCAAAGCCACUGCAGGAGUGCUGCCACGCGGGUCAGAACAUCGGAUUCAAAAAGACAAAAGGUCACAGAGGCACUAGUUUCAGAUUUACGGUGAUAGCCCCGCUCAUGGCACCGCUGCACAGCAGGACCCUGCACGGGAUUUAAAGCCCUGCAGGACCCCCACCUUGACAUGUGACAUAUGUAGGGUCAAAGGGGAGACUGUUGCAUAACGUGGACAACGCUGCAAAUUAACAUUUCCCAGACUGGGUUUCUUCACAACAGAGGCCACUCAUCACAAGAGGAGCAAGUCAUGACUAACUGAAGAGAACAUGUCUGUGAAAUAAUCCGUGAACGCCAUAAAACCGACCACGAUUUCCUCCUUUUUAAAACAAGACAGUCUUUGUAGUUUUACAUAAGUUUGUUUUUCUGUUGUUUUCUUGUCAAAGCACUUGAUUUAGUGAAAAAUUGUGUAAUUUUAUGAGCUCUGGUUGCAGCUCCAUGAAUAAAGAGAUGUCAUAGCUGGCGGUCAAGUUCAUCUGAAAUGCAGAGUGUGCAGUGCUGUGCUUUGCAGCUAUAAUUAAAGAGAGGCCGCAGCUUGAUCUAUAAUUAACAUCUUGCAGGCUAAAUAUGACACAAGCAAUAAGAAUGCAAGUGAACAUAACAACACAUGAAAGACGUUUUGAGCUGAAUGCUUUAAAAGGCGGGUUGUGGCCGAGAAUCUGGUAAACCUCCACACAUGUGCUAAGACAAGAAAGCAUUUUACAGUGUUCAGUUUAUGGAACAGUUUACUGCAGCUUGUUUAUGGUCAUAUUACUUUCCACCACAAAUACAGGCUUUAAGAGUUAUUUGAUUUGGUUCUGAGAGGAUUAUGCAACUCUCAUUGUAGUGUAUUUAUGUGACUGUGCCCUUCUGUGAGGUAAACAUCCCCCAUCCUGUGUUCUAGUUUCAGUUCAUGUGAAGAGAGCUAUCAGAGCGUUUCAGGAAGUUUAAGAUGUAAACAGGGCAGAGGAUGAACUCCAGAAAACCCUGGGAAUGUAUUUUUGUUACACAGAGGCUUUACCUCAGGGUCAAUCAAACACACAUGACAAAACAUUCGAGUUUGUGUCAUUUACAGCAUGGACAUUAUCUUUCAGAUCAUAGCAUAUGAUCAUAAAGCUCUAAUGUUUUUAUAUGGCAUUACUUAACAGCUGUGACUGAGAAGUUUGAUAGGUUUCAUGUGCAGGCUUAUGUGGGAUCGCUCCUCUCGUGUAUGUGCUGUAAACUGUCUUCACAUGAACACAAUGAGGCUAAAUCCAAGCUAAAUCUCUUUUCAUUAUGUGAUAUGGGUGGAGCAGGCUGGGUGGCCAAACUGCAAGUCAUGUCAAGAAAAAAGGGCAGGCGUACUAGGAAGAAAAACACGAUGAUAAUAACAUCACACUCUGACUGUCCUAUUUAAAAUGAUAUAUAACAGAGUAAAAAAAACAUGUUUUGUUGUGGCAUGCAUAAGAGAGAGACACCACUCUUAAUGUGUACAGUGAAAAUGUUAGUUUGUCAAGUAAAGAACGACGUGACAAUAAAUGUUGAUGGUUAAUUACAAAACACGUAGAAGCAGCAUGAUGGGUACAUGAGGUAUUUUCAAAAUAACAAGAAUGCAGAUCCACAGGGAGUGGAUCAAGAAGUGAGUAAAUAGAAAUGAGGCCACCUUUUUGUUAUGAAGCCCAUUUAUUCUUCUAAACACUACACAGAGGUGUCUUUUCAUAAUAUAGGCACUGAGAUAAUUUGAUGAAUAUAUUUGCAUAAUAAAAGGCAUUAAUAGGAGAAAUGUUGUAGAUGUUUUCCAGGAUGCUAAAAGUUCUCCUUAGCUCCAUAUCUCUGAGUGGAGUCAGUGAAAUGCAACCAGCCGAUUGGAGUCAGAGAACUCCGAUUAAGACACCCAGACAAUGCGAUUGGAAUGUUUUACACAUGAUCUAUACAGCCAGUUAGCCCAGCCAUGAAAACUGAGGUUGUGCUUUUAUUUUGAAAGUCCACCCACUCAAAUUGUAAUGAAGCUUAAUGUUCGGCAUAAUUCAAGGCUGUUUUGUGUGACAGGUUAGAGCACAAGCUGUCCGCCAGGUCCAUAUUUGGCUGAUUUGAGUUAGUAAACUCAACAUCUUUGGUAUCCAGCUUCUCAUCCAAGUAUGAUCCUCUGGUUCCAGAGAAACAACAAAGCUUUAUGGCCUGAAGUGGGAAACAACUCUCCAUAAACCAAGAGGAGACAGUACAGAGGCGGUGUCAGCUUAAGAUGUUCAACAAGAAAUGGGAAGAGGACAUUAAACACAGACUUCCACUGAACACAGACUUCUCUGAGCGAGACAAGAGCAGAACAGUAGUCCCUAAAACAAUGCUUGGUAUCUCCUUCAGUAAGGUCUUCAAUUCAUAUAUAACACCAUCAUCAUCAUCAUUUAUUUAUGUACAGAGUUACCCCCAAAUUCAACCGCAUCCGGAACGGCUACAAAAAAGUCUGUAUCAUCGUUACCGUUCAAGUUAAUGUGUCAAUUUUCACCAGCUUCUUUCCGUUCCGUUGCGGAUCGCCAGACUCCGCAGGUGAUCACUGCUAAUUUUCUCCUCUGAAAGGACACAAUCUGCUGCUUAUAUGGUUAGCCUAUGUGGCUAAAGACAACUUGCUAUUGCGCGACUGCAUGAGAAUCCACGGGUUUUUGUGAGUUCUGGCAAUUCCUGUUCUCUGUAAUCCACCAAGAAAUUCCCUUCACAUACGGAUCUGGUAGGAUUUGGCGUACGGCAAAAAAGCAGUCGUUCUGGGUCGGCACCAUUCUGGAUGCAAUGGAAGUCCUAGGUUAGUUAGAUAGUUAGUACAGUUAGUUUAGUAUCAAUACAGUAAAGGAAAGUCAUUAUUACAAAGGGUCAAAGGUGUCUUUGUCCUCUGAAGCAAAGACUGACAGAAGACAAAACCUAAGAUGGGACAGGUCUCAUACUGAUCCGAAAAAGCCCCGUCCAAAAUGAAGCGUCUGGCCUCUUCAUGGUUCAUCCUCAUGUUUUGAUGCUUCAGCCGUCCUUCAGUCUGGAAAAAAAUGUGGUGUGGCUGUGACGAAAUCAACAGUCAUAGAAAGAUUCCCAUUCUAGUUAACGUCUGCUUACGUCUGGAAAAUAAUUUGUCUCAGGCUGUGGUGUUUAGAAACACUAUAAAUCAUUGCGCCAUUUGAGAAUUAAAGGGUUGGACACUGGCAUUGUCAUUGAUCUUUAUCAUAGUCACAUAUUUCCCUGUGUGUGUGAGAGAGAGAGAGAAAGAGGAAAUCAUGUGUAAGCCAGGAUUUUCACGAGAUUUUUUUCUGAUGUUUGAUAAGAAAACAGCUUUAGGGGAUGUGCCGAAUGUGUCACAUGAUCUUCCCCGUGCUUUGACUGUGCUCAGAAGUGUCCUCUUAGACAACGGUCUUGUGAGCACUUGAGAGUUUCCACACUGAUUUCUUGGAAAUUCACAAAAGAAAUAAAAACAAGCUGACUCAGCAGUGGUCCUGUUUCCCUAGUGCUUUCCAGCCAAUCACAGCCUAAAAAUGUCCAAAUCCAACCAACCAAUGGCAGCUUGUGUUUGGGCACUGACUGAGUGUAUCAACAAAAUGAUAACUUUUCUGGCCUUUCUGGGACGUGUUGAAUGGGCUGACAGUUUGUGAGUGAAUGCGAAGAACACUUGAAUAACAGGUGAUGCUAAAACUUUAUGUAACACCAACUCUGGCCUCCCCACAAACAGUUGUGGAAUGAAUAUUUGGAAAGAUGAGCGGGUUUGAUUAAAGGAAUCAUUUAAUAAAAUUGAAUUUAUUACGUAAGAGAAAAGAUAGUCAAUUACAUUCCAGUUUUUCUCACCAGAUGUUGCCCUACAGAGGAAUAAUAAAUCGUUUUCAGUUUACACCCUCUCAGAAUCGUAAAAACCUGGCACACAUCAUUCUAAUCAAGUAUCAAACAUAUAUAAUUAAGUUAUAAUUGCAGUAGAAAGUAGACAGGUUUCACACCUGUCCGGUCCUGCCUCAACAUGGGUAGCCCUCCUCGUCGAGCUCCUUUAGGAUGGCAGAACAACGUGUUCUCUGAUGCUUUAUUGCCUUCCUGUGGUUUCCCGGGGUUGUGAACUUUAUGAGGGCUGCUUUAUAGCCGUUGAACCUGUCCCCAGCUGUGAGCAACGAUUGAGGAUCAGAGUGAACUGUUGGCAAGUGGGCCAAAUCUUUAUGUUGGUGCAUUGGCAGUGAUCAUGUUUCUUUCAAAUUACAAGAUUGGCCACCCCUGCUGAUUUUUUCGUUACCUUGUUUUUUUGCAUUCCCAGUGUUAUUUCUCCCAGAUGCUGCUUUGACAACACACUCGUUAGGACCUUUAUGUUGAACCAGGAAUGAUCUACCGGCGUGUUUUCUUGAUUUCAAUGGACCACUUAUCUUCUUGUCCUUAUUUUGCCCUCAGGCCUAAGAGCUAAGAUCUGAGUACGAUUGAGUGUAGCAGCCAUGUGAAGAUUUAUGUAACUGGAAAUAUCAAGAUAGUCCUGAUCUGAGUUAUAUAUGUUGUGAUUUUUAGAUGUUAUGGCAAACACGUCAUGUAUGGAUAAUGUUUUAAUGCAUGAGAAGAAAUCAAGUUUUUCUAUUGUUUAGUUUUUUACAUUGAAACACUCUCAAUUACGGUUACUAAUCGAUCAUGGAGGCCAAACACUCUGACAGUUAUGUUUCCCUGGAGGAUAACUGAAGAGUGCUGACUGUGUAACUGUGCCUUGGAGCUAUUUUUGUAACUCUGAACACUGACGAGUCUUCACGGACUUUCAACAUUUCCAGCACUGAGGCCCAUGGGUGCUGUUUCUUCCCUCACAACAAGGGAGACAAAACUGACCUUAGCUGAACUUUUGUCUGUGAUAUGAUAUGAGAUUGAUUUACAGCAGCUGUUUAUUAAUGAGUGAAUAUGUGAGAGGAUCAUUAACUAUAAUGUCAUUUAAGGAUAAAGCGUCACUACUAUUUAUGUGACAUUAAAAAGAAGAAGAAUUACACAUUAUGAGAGCUUUAAAGUGGCAAUGCUGCUGAUGAGUAACUUUAUAUCUUAUAACUUUUCAGGUGAUUAAAGGUACGGUGAGUUGAAAUGGAAAAAUUACUCCAGCAGUCAGAUUUGAGAUGGUGGAAGUGGAUGUAUGCUAAGUAUGAUUGUCUAUUUGUAAAAUAUUUUACCAUGAAUAUCAAACUCUUUUGAACUUACCAACCACUGUCUUCUUAUCUUUUGUCGGCCAACUGGAUUGUCUGUUCUAUGCUUUGGUCAAGAUGUAGUGGUGUUAAUGAGUCAACAAAAACAAAACAAAACAAUUAUAUAACCAGGCUGUUAUACACUCAUUUUAAAAUGUCUUUUUUUUAUAUAACGAAAAAGUCAGUGUGCAAUUCAAUGACCGUGUCAUAUACUUGGAGUUCACACAGGUGUGUCAGCAGAGCAGUUCACACUUUGCAUUAUUGCAUAACACGUUUUACUGCCAGACACACUAUUAACAUACAUCCUGAACCUCAACCC
rnacentral:lncRNA from 1 species